AUUGAACGCUGGCGGCAGGCCUAACACAUGCAAGUCGAGCGGAUGAAGGGAGCUUGCUCCUGGAUUCAGCGGCGGACGGGUGAGUAAUGCCUAGGAAUCUGCCUGGUAGUGGGGAUAACGUCCGGAAACGGGCGCUAAUACCGCCUACGUCCUGAGGGAGCAAGGGGGGGCAUUUUGGACCUCAGGCUAUUAGCUGAACCUAGGGCGGAUUAGCUAGUUGGUGGGGUAAAGGCCUACCAAGGCGACGAUCCGUAACUGGUCUGAGAGGAUGAUCAGUCACACUGGAACUGAGACACGGUCCAGACUCCUACGGGAGGCAGCAGUGGGGAAUAUUGGACAAUGGGCGAAAGCCUGAUCCAGCCAUGCCGCGUGUGUGAAGAAGGUCUUCGGAUUGUAAAGCUCUUUAGGUUGGGAGGAAGGGCAGUAAGUUAAUACCUUGCUGUUUUGACGGUACCAACAGAAUAAGCACCGGCUAACUUCGUG
rnacentral:rRNA from 1 species